rnacentral:rRNA from 1 species
UACGUAGGGUGCGAGCGUUGUCCGGAAUUAUUGGGCGUAAAGAGCUCGUAGGCGGCUUGUCGCGUCGGAUGUGAAAGCCCGGGGCUUAACUCCGGGUCUGCAUUCGAUACGGGCAGGCUAGAGUUCGGUAGGGGAGAUCGGAAUUCCUGGUGUAGCGGUGAAAUGCGCAGAUAUCAGGAGGAACACCAAUGGCGAAGGCAGCUCACUGGGACGGUAUUGACGCUGAGACGCGAAAGCGUGGGGAGCAAACAGG